AGCCCUAUAGUUCAUCGGUUAGAAUUCAGGAUUCCAAAUCCUGCGAGGUCGGUUCGAUUCCAACUGGGGCUGCCA
rnacentral:tRNA from 1 species